UUUUGUAAGUUACGACAAUCCUGUUUCGGCCCAAGCUGCCAUCCAGUCCAUGAACGGCUUUCAGAUUGGCAUGAAGCGGCUUAAAGUGCAGCUCAAACGUUCGAAGAAUGACAGCAAGCCCUACUGAGCGUGCUCCCCUCUGAGACUGGAGUGAGAGGGUCUUCUGGUAGCUGGUGGUGUUGGAUUAUCCCAUUGAAGCUGGGACAGCUGUUCCUUUCUCAUAGUGAUAACUUGGGUCUGUUGUCCUCUAAGGAACGUGAAACAUACACUUCUUAAGCUGAACCACGUAAACUUGAAAUUCUGCGCACUGGGAGAAAUGUGUCCUGUGUUUCAAAGGAUAAAACUGUUCUAAAGGCUUCCAGGGUCAUGAUGGGAUUUUUUAAAUAAAUGCAA
rnacentral:lncRNA from 10 species